UACGGUGUGUGCAAGCGUUACUCGGAAUCACUGGGCAUAAAGAGCACGUAGGCGGGCUCGCUAGUCAGAUGUGAAAUCCCCCAGCUCAACUGGGGAACUGCAUCUGAUACUGCGAGUCUUGAGGACGAAAGGGGAGAGUGGAACUUCUGGUGGAGCGGUGAAAUGCGUAGAUAUCAGAAGGAACACCGGUGGCGAAGGCGACUCUCUGGUUCGUUUCUGACGCUGAGGUGCGAAAGCGUGGGUAGCAAACGGGAUUAGAUACCCCGGUAGUCCACGCCGUAAACGAUGAACACUAGGGAGGGGAAACUCCACGUUUUCCCUCCUGGAGCUAAUGUUUUAAGUGUUCCGCCUGGGGAGUACAGUCGCAAGGCCG
rnacentral:rRNA from 1 species